UACAGGGGAUAAAUAAUUUAUGACUGUGUUAAAGUAAAGCUUAAAACAAUACCAUCAUGAUUUGAAAAAAAAGACCAUGUUCGCUGGAUCGUAAUAAAGAAGUCACCUUGUGAACUAUUAUCCGGAACAGUAAAAUAACAGGGCAUAAUAUUUUAGGUACCUAAGAGCGCCAAUAUCUAGGAAAAUUCAGAAGGGUAAAAUGAAAGGGG